GAGCGAGAAAGGGGCUUCGGCCCUGAGUACAGCGGCGCACGGGUGAGUAACACGUGGGUAAUCUGCCCUAGAGUGGGGAAUAACACCGGGAAACCGGUGCUAAUACCGCAUACGAUCGCGAUGUCUUCGGAUGUUGUGAUGAAAGGAGCAAUUCGCUCUUGGAGGAGCCCGCGGCUGAUUAGCUAGUUGGUGAGGUAACGGCUCACCAAGGCAACGAUCAGCAGCCGGUCUGAGAGGACGGUCGGCCACACUGGAACUGAGACACGGUCCAGACUCCUACGGGAGGCAGCAGUGGGGAAUUUUUCGCAAUGGGGGCAACCCUGACGAAGCAACGCCGCGUGGGUGAUGAAGUCUCUUGGGACGUAAAACCCUUUCGACGGGGAAGAAACCGCAAGGUUGACGGUACCCGUAGAAGAAGCCCCGGCUAACUCCGUGCCAGCAGCCGCGGUAAUACGGGGGGGGCAAGCGUUGUUCGGAAUUACUGGGCGUAAAGGGCGCGUAGGCGGUCCGCUAAGUUGAAUGUGAAAACUCUGGGCUUAACCCAGAGCCUGCAUUCAAUACUGGCGGGCUAGAGUUCUGGAGGGGAUAGCGGAAUUCCUGGUGUAGCGGUGAAAUGCGUAGAUAUCAGGAGGAACACCGGUGGCGAAGGCGGCUAUCUGGACAGAGUCUGACGCUGAGGCGCGAAAGCUAGGGGAGCAAACAGGAUUAGAUACCCUGGUAGUCCUAGCCCUAAACGAUGGAUACUUGCUGUGACUGGGAUUGAAUCCAGUCGUGGCGAAGCUAACGCAU
rnacentral:rRNA from 1 species